rnacentral:rRNA from 1 species
CAGUCGCCACGGUAAUACGUAGGUGGCAAGCGUUGUCCGGAAUUAUUGGGCGUAAAGGGCUCGCAGGCGGUUUCUUAAGUCUGAUGUGAAAGCCCCCGGCUCAACCGGGGAGGGUCAUUGGAAACUGGGAAACUUGAGUGCAGAAGAGGAGAGUGGAAUUCCACGUGUAGCGGUGAAAUGCGUAGAGAUGUGGAGGAACACCAGUGGCGAAGGCGACUCUCUGGUUUGUAACUGACGCUGAGGAGCGAAAGCGUGGGGAGCGAACAGGAUUAGAUACCCCUGUAGUCCCUGUCUCUUAUAC